AUUCACUCUCAAAUCAAAAUAAUGAAUCAAAUUAUUCUAUUCAAGUGCAUAUUUCGUAGUCCACAUCAUGUAUUCCGGCCUCCACCUCAACAAUAAAUAGAGUUUUUUCAUGUCGAUGUCAAAAAUCAGAAAAAAUGCUAAGUUCGUGUAUUUGUGGGCUAAAAAUAAAAGUCAUGUUAAAUUUUAGAAAAUAUAAAAAGUUCAUGUAUUUACAGGCUAAUAA
rnacentral:lncRNA from 1 species